UACGGGGGGGGCAAGCGUUGUUCGGAAUUACUGGGCGUAAAGGGCUCGUAGGUGGCCAACUAAGUCAGACGUGAAAUCCCUCGGCUUAACCGGGGAACUGCGUCUGAUACUGGAUGGCUUGAGUUCGGGAGAGGGACGCGGAAUUCCAGGUGUAGCGGUGAAAUGCGUAGAUAUCUGGAGGAACACCGGUGGCGAAGGCGGCGUCCUGGACCAACACUGACACUGAGGAGCGAAAGCCAGGGGAGCAAACGGG
rnacentral:rRNA from 1 species